rnacentral:rRNA from 1 species
GACGAACGCUGGCGGCGUGCUUAACACAUGCAAGUCGUACGGUAAGGCCCUUUCGGGGGUACACGAGUGGCGAACGGGUGAGUAACACGUGAGUAACCUGCCCACCACUUUGGGAUAACGCUCGGCAACUGGUGCUAAUUCUUGAUAUGUGCUCCUGCUUCCUGGUGGGGGUUGGAAAGCUCCGGCGGUUGUGGAUGGAUGCGCGGGCUUUCCGCUUGUUGGUGGGGUGGUGGCCUGCCAAGGCGGCGUCGGGUGGGCGGCCGGGGAGGGUGGCCGGCCACAUUGGGACUUGGUAACGGCCCAGACUCCUACGGGAGGCAGGAGGGGGGAAAUUUUCACAAUGGGCGCGAGCCUGAUGCAGCAACGCCGCGGGCGGGAUGACGGGCUUCGGGUUGGAAACCGCCUUCAGCAGGGACGAAGCUUUUUGUGACGGUACCUGCAGAAGAAGCACCGGCUAACUACGUG